GCCGGGACUUUGGAGGUCGGAGGAGUCAGAGCCCAAGCCAUCACUGAUCCAGCCCUGGGCGUUCUGCUAUCAUCAUAGUCUACAAACCUUUCCCCCAAGGAGGCCAAGACAGUAGCACUUGCAGGAAGCAUCAAAAGCAAUCCCUGCCCCUUCCCGAGAGCACCACACAUGCAUUCAGAUAGCCUUCUUUUUGUCUUCUGCAUCUUUCUUUAACACAAGGAUGUGAACACUGCAGAGUGUCCCUGAAAGGACAGCUCAUCUUCAUUCCUUGCUGAAGUUUCCUCUAGGACGAGGCUGAGCAAGGCCAGAGGUUCUCACGUCAAAACCUCCACCUCCAACUCUCUCCCAGACCCAGCCUGCAUCAUCUCAGGGCCUGCUGGACAACUCACCUAGACCACUGACCUUCCCUAAACCUCAAACUUCCUCCACAAACAGCCACCUCCCCGGCUUGGUGACUCCGAGAGGCAGGCCAGAAGUCAGCCUGGACUCUUCUCUCUGCCAACCUCAUCCAACUUAUCCACUGGGGACUUUCCAGGCUUUACCUCAACAGAUGUCUAUAAUCUGAAACUGCUCACUGCCCCCAGUGCAGUUCCCAGAUCCGUGUCAGCACAAUGCCUCGUCCCAGACACUUGCAAUAGCAUUGUUGCUGGCCUCCCUGCUCACAACUCUGCCCCUCAUUGGUGGACUUCAGUGGAACAGCCCUCAGAUGUGAGAUGGUGCUUCCCCUCUACUGGAGAGCUUGCAGUGGCUCCCCUGUCUUCUAAAAAAGAAAAAAAAGCUCAAGCCCACUCUCCUGCUGAAAAAGUGACUUCGAUGACAGACUGCCUGGUGAACUUUCCCUUGCCCAGGGUGAUUCAGUAGCCUGAUUGCACCACAUCAGUGAUGGAUAGUUUCAGUCUUGUUUUUGGCAGCACUUAACAACAUGUGACUGUUCCUGACUAAUGUCCACAAUCUAUCAGCAUCAAUAGGGCAGAAGCUCCAUUUCCUUUAAGAGGUAUUAAAAACAGGCACAGAGACAGAGAUGGAAGAGUGAUGAG